CAGAGAGAAGACGACUCAGGAGCUCACUCCUGGGAACGUGCAGCAGUCUUCCCCACACACAGCUAGAAACCAUCCUACUAAAGGUGGUGAGAUGGGAUAGGAACGGGGCAGGUUUAGCACUGACAAGUUACCUUGAGUGGUCCUAAACCCCACGACCGUGGCUCCGAACUCUAAUCAGCGAGAUCUGAAUGUAUCACGCCAGCAGCCAAGACUAACGUUAAUAUUUUUUUGUUCAUUAUUGAGUUUUGCACAUUAAUACACUGUUUAUGACGAUCAGUGCCCCCUUCUGCUGCUGAUGCCUAUGCAGGCAGAUCACAAACGUGCUUGUCUUAAUAUUGGUGACUAUUAUCACUUCACAAACUUUGUAAAUGUACCUUUCAUCCACAGGGUGACAAAAUUCGGAUGGAAGCAUAUAUCCUGCUCUGUGCUUCCAUCACCUGUGGGCCUUGGCACCUGAGCUCUCUUUGCAAUUGCACAAUGCUAGUUAGAAAAUCUCCAAGGAACCCCAAAACCCCUGUGGCAGGGACACCAGCAAACAAGAUGAAUGGAUGGCCAGAUACGUUACCAUCUUCAGGUUAUGUGCGCUGAAGAAGAGGGGAGGCCAAGCCCAGUUCAA